AAGAGACGUUGCCCUUCGGGUAUACCUCCCACCCUUUGUUUAUUAUACCUUUGUUGCUUUGGCGGGCCCGUCCUCGGACCACCGGCUUCUGCUGGUCAGUGCCCGCCAGAGGACCUAAAACUCUGUUUGUUAAUAUUGUCUGAGUACUAUAUAAUAGUUU
rnacentral:misc_RNA from 1 species